AUUGAACGCUGGCGGCAGGCCUAACACAUGCAAGUCGAACGAGUGGCGGACGUGUUAUUAAUGUCUGGGAACCUGCCUGAUGGAGGGGGAUAACUACUGGAAACGGUAGCUAAUACCGCAUACCAUCAGAUUUGCCCAGAUGGGAGUAGCUUGUUGGUGGGGUAACGGCUCACCAAGGCGACGAUCCCUAGCUGGUCUGAGAGGAUGACCAGCCACACUGGAACUGAGACACGGGCCAGAAUCAUACGUGAGGCAGCAGUGGGGAAUAUUGCACAAUGGGCGCAAGCCUGAUGCAGACAUGCCGCGUGUAUGAAGAAGGCCUGAGGGUUGGAAAGUACGUUCAGCGGGGAGGCGUUACCCGCAGAAGAAGCACCGGCUAACUCCGUGCCAGCAGCCGCGGUAAUAC
rnacentral:rRNA from 1 species